rnacentral:rRNA from 1 species
GAAAGGUGGCUUCGGCUAUCACUUCUGGAUGAUCCCGCGGCGUAUUAGUUAGUUGUGGUGAGGUAAAGGCCCACCAAGACGAUGAUACGUAGCCGACCUGAGAGGGUAAUCGGCCACAUUGGGACUGAGACACGGCCCAAACUCCUACGGGAGGCAGCAGUAGGGAAUCUUCCACAAUGGACGAAAGUCUGAUGGAGCAAUGCCGCGUGAGUGAAGAAGGGUUUCGGCUCGUAAAACUCUGUUGUUAAAGAAGAACACCUUUGAGAGUAACUGUUCAAGGGUUGACGGUAUUUAACCAGAAAGCCACGGCUAACUACGUGCCAGCAGCCGCGGUAAUACGUAGGUGGCAAGCGUUGUCCGGAUUUAUUGGGCGUAAAGCGAGCGCAGGCGGUUUUUUAAGUCUGAUGUGAAAGCCUUCGGCUUAACCGGAGAAGUGCAUCGGAAACUGGGAGACUUGAGUGCAGAAGAGGACAGUGGAACUCCAUGUGUAGCGGUGGAAUGCGUAGAUAUAUGGAAGAACACCAGUGGCGAAGGCGGCUGUCUAGUCUGUAACUGACGCUGAGGCUCGAAAGCAUGGGUAGCGAACAGGAUUAGAUACCCUGGUAGUCCAUGCCGUAAACGAUGAGUGCUAAGUGUUGGAGGGUUUCCGCCCUUCAGUGCUGCAGCUAACGCAUUAAGCACUCCGCCUGGGGAGUACGACCGCAAGGUUGAAACUCAAAGGAAUUGACGGGGGCCCGCACAAGCGGUGGAGCAUGUGGUUUAAUUCGAAGCUACGCGAAGAACCUUACCAGGUCUUGACAUCUUCUGCCAAUCUUAGAGAUAAGACGUUCCCUUCGGGGACAGAAUGACAGGUGGUGCAUGGUUGUCGUCAGCUCGUGUCGUGAGAUGUUGGGUUAAGUCCCGCAACGAGCGCAACCCUUAUUAUCAGUUGCCAGCAUUCAGUUGGGCACUCUGGUGAGACUGCCGGUGACAAACCGGAGGAAGGUGGGGAUGACGUCAAAUCAUCAUGCCCCUUAUGACCUGGGCUACACACGUGCUACAAUGGACGGUACAACGAGUCGCGAAGUCGUGAGGCUAAGCUAAUCUCUUAAAGCCGUUCUCAGUUCGGAUUGUAGGG